rnacentral:rRNA from 1 species
CACGUAGGGGGCGAGCGUUGUCCGGAUUUAUUGGGCGUAAAGAGCUCGUAGGUGGCUUAGUAAGUCGGGUGUGAAACCUCCAGGCUCAACCUGGAGACGCCACCCGAUACUGCUAUAGCUUGAGUCCGGUAGGGGAGCGUGGAAUUCCUGGUGUAGCGGUGAAAUGCGCAGAUAUCAGGAAGAACACCCGUGGCGAAGGCGGCUCUCUGGGACGGUACUGACGCUGAGACGCGAAAGCGUGGGGAGCGAGCAGG